UUGACGGGGCCCGCACAAGCGGAGGAACAUGUGGUUUAAUUCGAUGAUACGCGAGGAACCUUACCCGGGCUUGAAAUGCAUCUGACCGGCCUUGAAAGAGGCACUCCCUUCGGGGCAGAUGUGUAGGUGCUGCAUGGUUGUCGUCAGCUCGUGCCGUGAGGUGUCGGCUUAAGUGCCAUAACGAGCGCAACCCUCAUCAUUAGUUACCAUCAGGUAAGGCUGGGGACUCUAAUGAGACUGCCAUCGUAAGAUGUGAGGAAGGUGGGGAUGACGUCAAAUCAGCACGGCCCUUACGUCCGGGGCGACACACGUGUUACAAUGGGUGGUACAAAGGGCAGCUACCUGGCGACAGGAUGCUAAUCUCGAAAACCGCUCUCAGUUCGGAUCGGAGUCUGCAACUCGACUCCGUGAAGCUGGAUUCGCUAGUAAUCGCGCAUCAGCCACGGCGCGGUGAAUACGUUCCCGGGCCUU
rnacentral:rRNA from 1 species